rnacentral:rRNA from 1 species
AGAGUUUGAUCCUGGCUCAGGACGAACGCUGGCGGCGUGCUUAACACAUGCAAGUCACGGGGGCCCGCAAGGGCAACCGGCGAACGGGUGCGUAACACGUGAGCAACCUGCCGAUCUGAGGGGGAUAGCCGGCCCAACGGCCGGGUAAUACCGCAUACGUUCUCAAAGAGGAGUCUCUUUGGGAAAAAACCUCCGGGGCAGAUCGAGGGGCUCGCGGCCUAUCAGCUAGUUGGCGGUGUAACGGACCACCAAGGCAAUGACGGGUAGCUGGUCUGAGAGGAUGGCCAGCCACAUUGGGACUGAGAGACGGCCCACACUCCUACGGGAGGCAGCAGUGGGGGAUCUUGCGCAAUGGCCGAAAGGCUGACGCAGCGACGCCGCGUGUGGGAUGAAUCAUUUCGGUGUGUAAACCACUGUUGCCCGGGACGAACAUCCUCUUUCGAGAGGACUGACGGUACCGGGUGAGGAAGCACCGGCUAACUCCGUGCCAGCAGCCGCGGUAAUACGGAGGGUGCGAGCGUUGUCCGGAAUCACUGGGCGUAAAGGGCGCGUAGGUGGCCUGUGGAAAGUCUGCGGUGAAAGCCCGGCGCUCAACGCCGGGUCGGCCGUGUAUACUCUCGGGCUUGAGCUUACUAGAGGCAGAUGGAAUUCCGGGUGUAGCGGUGGAAUGCGUAGAGAUCCCAGAAACACACCGGUGACGAAGGC